GUGGCCUUCCCUUUUUUGGACGUUAGCGGCGGACGGGUGAGUAACACGUGGAUAACCUACCUAUAAGACUGGGAUAACUUCGGGAAACCGGAGCUAAUACCGGAUGAUAUUUUGAACCGCAUGGUUCAAAAGUGAAAGACGGUCUUGCUGUCACUUAUAGAUGGAUCCGCGCUGCAUUAGCUAGUUGGUAAGGUAACGGCUUACCAAGGCAACGAUGCAUAGCCGACCUGAGAGGGUGAUCGGCCACACUGGAACUGAGACACGGUCCAGACUCCUACGGGAGGCAGCAGUAGGGAAUCUUCCGCAAUGGGCGAAAGCCUGACGGAGCAACGCCGCGUGAGUGAUGAAGGUCUUCGGAUCGUAAAACUCUGUUAUUAGGGAAGAACAUAUGUGUAAGUAACUGUGCACAUCUUGACGGUACCUAAUCAGAAAGCCACGGCUAACUACGUGCCAGCAGCCGCGGUAAUACGUAGGUGGCAAGCGUUAUCCGGAAUUAUUGGGCGUAAAGCGCGCGUAGGCGGUUUUUUAAGUCUGAUGUGAAAGCCCACGGCUCAACCGUGGAGGGUCAUUGGAAACUGGAAAACUUGAGUGCAGAAGAGGAAAGUGGAAUUCCAUGUGUAGCGGUGAAAUGCGCAGAGAUAUGGAGGAACACCAGUGGCGAAGGCGACUUUCUGGUCUGUAACUGACGCUGAUGUGCGAAAGCGUGGGGAUCAAACAGGAUUAGAUACCCUGGUAGUCCACGCCGUAAACGAUGAGUGCUAAGUGUUAGGGGGUUUCCGCCCCUUAGUGCUGCAGCUAACGCAUUAAGCACUCCGCCUGGGGAGUACGACCGCAAGNUUGAAACUCAAAGGAAUUGACGGGGACCCGCACAAGCGGUGGAGCAUGUGGUUUAAUUCGAAGCAACGCGAAGAACCUUACCNAAUCUUGACAUCCUUUGACAACUCUAGAGAUAGAGCCUUCCCCUUCGGGGGACAAAGUGACAGGUGGUGCAUGGUUGUCGUCAGCUCGUGUCGUGAGAUGUUGGGUUAAGUCCCGCAACGAGCGCAACCCUUAAGCUUAGUUGCCAUCAUUAAGUUGGGCACUCUAAGUUGACUGCCGGUGACAAACCGGAGGAAGGUGGGGAUGACGUCAAAUCAUCAUGCCCCUUAUGAUUUGGGCUACACACGUGCUACAAUGGACAAUACAAAGGGCAGCGAAACCGCGAGGUCAAGCAAAUCCCAUAAAGUUGUUCUCAGUUCGGAUUGUAGUCUGCAACUCGACUACAUGAAGCUGGAAUCGCUAGUAAUCGUAGAUCAGCAUGCUACGGUGAAUACGUUCCCGGGUCUUGUACACACCGCCUCUGUAAAAACAAAAGGCGACUGGUAAUA
rnacentral:rRNA from 1 species